CGGAUUGUAGUCUGNAACCCGACUACAUGAAGCUGGAAUCGCUAGUAAUCGCGCAUCAGCCACGGCGCGGUGAAUACGUUCCCGGGCCUUGUACACACCGCCCGUCAAGCCAUGGAAGCCGGGAGUGCCUGAAGUACGCGACCGCAAGGAGCGUCCUAAGGUAAAACCGGUGACUGGGGCUAAGUCGUAACAAGGUACC
rnacentral:rRNA from 1 species